rnacentral:rRNA from 1 species
GGUUAAGUGACUAAGCGUACAGGGCGGAUGCCUUGGCAAUCAGAGGCGAUGAAGGACGUGCUAAUCUGCGAAAAGCUUGGAUGAGUCGAUAAGAGGCGUUUAAUCCAAGAUGUCCGAAUGGGGAAACCCAGUAGAUGAAGAAUCUACUAUCAAUAAAUGAAUACAUAGUUUAUUGAGGCGAACCGGGAGAACUGAAACAUCUAAGUACCCCGAGGAAAAGAAAUCAACCGAGAUUCUGUGAGUAGCGGCGAGCGAAAGCGGAAGAGCCAGUAAGUUUUAGCUAGCGUAUUAGAGGAAUUGGCUGGGAAGCCAAAUCAAAGAGGGUGAUAAUCCCGUACUCGAAAGUAUGGUAGUGGAACUAAGCUUACGAUAAGUAAGGCGGGACACGAGAAAUCCUGUUUGAAGAUGGGGGGACCAUCCUCCAAGGCUAAAUACUCCUGAUUGACCGAUAGUGAACCAGUACUGUGAAGGAAAGGCGAAAAGAACCCCGGUGAGGGGAGUGAAAUAGAACCUGAAACCCUGUACGUACAAGCAGUAGGAGCGAGGGCAACCUUGUGACUGCGUACCUUUUGUAUAAUGGGUCAGCGACUUAUAUUUUGUAGCGAGGUUAACUGAAUAAAGGGAGCCGAAGGGAAACCGAGUCUUAACUGGGCGUUGAGUUGCAAGGUAUAGACCCGAAACCCGGUGAUCUAGCCAUGGGCAGGUUGAAGGUUGGGUAACACUAACUGGAGGACCGAACCGACUAAUGUUGAAAAAUUAGCGGAUGACUUGUGGCUGGGGGUGAAAGGCCAAUCAAACCGGGAGAUAGCUGGUUCUCCCCGAAAUCUAUUUAGGUAGAGCCUUGAGCGGACACCUUCGGGGGUAGAGCACUGUUUCGGCUAGGGGUCCAUCCCGGAUUACCAACCCGAUGCAAACUGCGAAUACCGAAGAGUGAUACUCAGGAGACACACGGCGGGUGCUAACGUUCGUCGUGGAGAGGGAAACAACCCAGACCGCCAGCUAAGGUCCCGAAGUCUAUAUUAAGUGGGAAACGAAGUGGGAAGGCUUAGACAGCUAGGAUGUUGGCUUAGAAGCAGCCAUCAUUUAAAGAAAGCGUAAUAGCUCACUAGUCGAGUCGGCCUGCGCGGAAGAUGUAACGGGGCUCAAAUAUAGCACCGAAGCUGCGGCAUCAGAAUUUAUUCUGUUGGGUAGGGGAGCGUUGUGUAAGCGGAUGAAGGUGGCUCGAGAGGGUUGCUGGACGUAUCACAAGUGCGAAUGCUGACAUAAGUAACGAUAAAACGAGUGAAAAACUCGUUCGCCGGAAGACCAAGGGUUCCUGUCCAACGUUAAUCGGGGCAGGGUGAGUCGGCCCCUAAGGCGAGGCUGAAAAGCGUAGUCGAUGGGAAACGGGUUAAUAUUCCCGUACUUGGAUAAACUGCGAUGUGGGGACGGAGAAGGUUAGGUUAGCAGACUGUUGGAUGUCUGUUUAAGGUGGUAGGUGGAAGACUUAGGCAAAUCCGGGUCUUUAUAAAACACUGAGAGCUGAUGACGAGGUCUUAAGGGACUGAAGUAACUGAUACCCUGCUUCCAGGAAAAGCCACUAAGCUUCAGGUUUAUCUAAACCGUACUGAAAACCGACACAGGUGGUCAGGUAGAGAAUACUCAGGCGCUUGAGAGAACUCGGGUGAAGGAACUAGGCAAAAUAGCACCGUAACUUCGGGAGAAGGUGCGCUUACAGUAAUUGUAGUCCCUUGCGGAUGAAGGUGAAGUAAGUCGAAGAUACCAGCUGGCUGCAACUGUUUAUUAAAAACACAGCACUCUGCAAACACGAAAGUGGACGUAUAGGGUGUGAUGCCUGCCCGGUGCUGGAAGGUUAAUUGAUGGUGUUAUCGAAAGAGAAGCUCCUGACCGAAGCCCCAGUAAACGGCGGCCGUAACUAUAACGGUCCUAAGGUAGCGAAAUUCCUUGUCGGGUAAGUUCCGACCUGCACGAAUGGCAUAAUGAUGGCCAGGCUGUCUCCACCCGAGACUCAGUGAAAUUGAAAUCGCCGUGAAGAUGCGGUGUACCCGCGGCUAGACGGAAAGACCCCGUGAACCUUUACUAUAGCUUGACACUGAACAUUGAAUUUUGAUGUGUAGGAUAGGUGGGAGCCUUUGAAGCAGUGACGCCAGUCAUUGUGGAGGCGACCUUGAAAUACCACCCUUUAACGUUUGAUGUUCUAACGAAGUGCCUGAAACGGGUACUCGGACAGUGUCUGGUGGGUAGUUUGACUGGGGCGGUCUCCUCCCAAAGCGUAACGGAGGAGCACGAAGGUUUGCUAAUGACGGUCGGACAUCGUCAGGUUAGUGCAAUGGUAUAAGCAAGCUUAACUGCGAGACAGACAAGUCGAGCAGGUGCGAAAGCAGGUCAUAGUGAUCCGGUGGUUCUGAAUGGAAGGGCCAUCGCUCAACGGAUAAAAGGUACUCCGGGGAUAACAGGCUGAUACCGCCCAAGAGUUCAUAUCGACGGCGGUGUUUGGCACCUCGAUGUCGGCUCAUCACAUCCUGGGGCUGAAGUAGGUCCCAAGGGUAUGGCUGUUCGCCAUUUAAAGUGGUACGCGAGCUGGGUUUAGAACGUCGUGAGACAGUUCGGUCCCUAUCUGCCGUGGGCGUUGGAUGAUUGAUUGGGGCUGCUCCUAGUACGAGAGGACCGGAGUGGACGCAUCACUGGUGUUCCAGUUGUCUCGCCAGAGGCAUUGCUGGGUAGCUAAAUGCGGAAGAGAUAAGUGCUGAAAGCAUCUAAGCACGAAACUUGCCAAGAGAUGAGUCAUCCCUGACUUUAAGUCAGUAAGGGUUGUUGUAGACUACGACGUAGAUAGGUUGGGUGUGUAAGUGUAGUGAUACAUUGAGCUAACCAAUACUAAUUGCCCGAGAGGCUUAACCAU